GAUGAACGCUGGCGGCGUGCCUAAUACAUGCAAGUCGAGCGAACAGAUAAGGAGCUUGCUCCUUUGACGUUAGCGGCGGACGGGUGAGUAACACGUGGGUAACCUACCUAUAAGACUGGGAUAACUUCGGGAAACCGGAGCUAAUACCGGAUAACAUUUGGAACCGCAUGGUUCUAAGGUGAAAGAUGGUUUUGCUAUCACUUAUAGAUGGACCCGCGCCGUAUUAGCUAGUUGGUAAGGUAACGGCUUACCAAGGCGACGAUACGUAGCCGACCUGAGAGGGUGAUCGGCCACACUGGAACUGAGACACGGUCCAGACUCCUACGGGAGGCAGCAGUAGGGAAUCUUCCGCAAUGGGCGAAAGCCUGACGGAGCAACGCCGCGUGAGUGAUGAAGGGUUUCGGCUCGUAAAACUCUGUUAUUAGGGAAGAACAAAUGUGUAAGUAACUGUGCACGUCUUGACGGUACCUAAUCAGAAAGCCACGGCUAACUACGUG
rnacentral:rRNA from 1 species